GUAUUGAACCUGGAAUACCAGGAGUCAGCGUGUGCAACAUUGGAACUAAUUCAGAGGUUUUUUGUAAGGAUAAACCCUGAAGAGGGAACAAAAUGUACCUCCAAGGUUGGGACAAGCAGAAAGACUGGGACCACUGUGAAGCGAAAGAUGAUCCAUGGCCCAUGCUUUCUGGACAUUUACACAAGACGAACAACAAUGAAGACAAGCUCUCUCGCCAUCUUGCAAGACGCUGACUCUGUCCAAUAGGUUUUUUGAGUGCAACAGUUUUGAUUUUUUUUUUCCUUCUU